GAGCGUUCACGACUGUGUCGUAAAGUAGGGAACAUGCUUUGCUCCCGAACAGCCCGCCUCGCUGUCUUUACGACAGGCCGUAUUCCACGCCUCCAACAUGGCGUCCCCCAUUUAAGAAGCGGCAGUAGUUUCUACUCAGGUGGCCAGGGGCAGUGCUGAGCUUGGGCUGUUGUGUGUGUAGCCUGAAGUGCUGAAAGCUGUAGUUAAAGUUCGUUUCUAGUCACGGUUCCAGGAACUCUCCCUUCUUUCAGGGUCAGGAGUUGCCGGUUCCUUCUAGUUCCUGCAAGUUCUUCCUCUGCCCCUGGUUUGUUCCCUGCGCCACCUCCGGACACCCCCCAAAUCCCUGACACUCCCAGACUCAAACUAUGAGCCUUCGGCGGCUGCUGUUGCGCUUACCCCGUUAUCUCGGGGUCUCGGGUUCCCCGCGAUGCUUGUGGUGGUCCCCGUUCCUCGAUACCAUCUCUUCGGUGGGCUCCUGGCGUGGUCAGUCCUCCAGGUCCCCGGCCCACUGGAACCAAGUAGUGUCAGAGGCGGAGAAGAUCGUGGGCUAUCCCACGUCCUUCAUGAGCCUCCGCUGCCUGCUCAGCGACGAACUCAGCAACAUCGCUAUGCAGGUGCGGAAGUUGGUGGGGACUCAACACCCUCUGCUUACCACGGCCAGCACUUUUCAUACAUCAUUCCACUGCCUUCUGGCCUCCAUUGUUUCUGGGGGCUUGUACAUGAGAGCCGGCAUAACCUCCAGUUGAGGGGCUUGGUGGUGUUACUUAUUUCUAAAGCAGCUGGGCCCAGCAGCAUGAAUGCAUCAUGUCAGAACUAUGAUAUGGUCAGUGGGAUCUAUUCAUGUCAAAGAAGUUUGGCAGAGAUCACAGAACUUAUCCACACUGCUCUCCUCGUACAUCGUGGGAUAGUAAAUUUAAGUGAAUUGCAAUCCUCUGAUGGACCACUGAAAGACAUGCAAUUUGGAAAUAAAAUAGCUAUCCUGAGUGGAGACUUUCUUCUAGCAAAUGCCUGCAACGGACUAGCUCUGCUACAGAACACCAAGGUUGUGGAACUUUUAGCAAGUGCUCUUAUGGACUUGGUGCAGGGAAUAUACCAUGAAAAUUCUACUUCAACAAAGGAAAAUCAUAUCACAGAAGAUAUUGGAAUAUCAACUUGGAAGGAACAGACUUUUCUCUCCCAUGGUGCCUUAUUAGCAAAGAGCUGCCAGGCUGCAAUGGAAUUAGCAAAGCAUGAUGCUGACGUUCAGGAUAUGGCAUUUCAGUAUGGGAAGCACAUGGCCAUGAGUCAUAAGAUAAAUUCUGACCUCCAGCCUUUUAUUAAGGAAAAGACCAGUGACUCCAUAACUUUUAAUCUCAACUCAGCUCCUGUGGUCUUACAUCAGGAGUUUCUUGGAAGAGACUUGUGGAUUAAGCAGAUCAGAGAGGCUCAAGAGAAGGGAAGAUUAGACUAUGCUAAGUUGCGAGAAACAAUCAAAGCUGGCAAAGGUGUGACUUCAGCUAUUGACCUGUGUCGUUACCAUGGAAACAAGGCACUGGAGGCCCUGGAGAGCUUUCCUCCCUCGGAGGCCAGAUCUGCUUUAGAAAACAUUGUGUUUGCUGUGACCAGAUUUUCGUGACACCAAAUUAAAAAGACACUAUUGUUCGUUAGCUGAAAAAAAACUGGGGAAUGAGGUGAUCGAGAGAGCUUUCAUGAUGAAAUAACUAAAUGUGUUAAUGACUUUAAAAACAUAAUACAUUUUUUCCUUCCUUUUAUCACAUUGCUAAAUGAAUACUGCCUUCUUUUUGGAACUGCUACAAACAAAAUUAGAAGAAAAAAAGGUCAAGCAGUUUUCACUUGUCACGCCAGAGCACACUUGAGGCUGCAGUAGCAGAAAUAAUUAAUGAGAUUCGCUCCUGUGACCUCAGCAAAUGGACAGGAAAUAAGUCCUUAUUGAUUGGACCGAGCCAGGGAUGGCGCCAGGGCGGUGGCCUGUGGUUUUCUUUCUAGAGAGGACAGAGCAAGCUGGAAGCUGCAGGUGUCAAGAGAAACACUAUCACUGCCAGCCGGAGAGGACUGUCAGAUCAAAAACUAGUGACCAAUCUGACAUAAUGGAGGGUCGUUCAGUAAUUAAGGAAAAAAAAAAAAAAAGUGCUUUGUCUUCUUGCAAUUAUGUCUCUGCAUUUGCAGCUGAGGGAGAAAUGUGGGGCACCAAGACAUGCUUUAAUCACUCCCCUUGGCCUGUCUCCUGGGUGCAGGCUCUGCUGACUAGGGCAAUAAUCGGACCGGAGGGAUGGAAAUAUGAAUGCAAUGGCCAAGUCUCCAAGGAACAGCAAAAUUAAAUUAGGCGCAUUUUUUAGAAGUAAAAGGGAAGGCACGUUCCUACAGUGACAGAAGUUUUGCAAGAAUGCUUGGACUUGGGCUGUAGCAGAGGAAGCCACCUUGUCAGCAGAACAUUCACUCUGGGACCCAGUACUUCUGGGAUGCUAGGACUGAGACCAGAACACGUGGAUGAAGGGGAGCCCGGUGACAGGAGUAAAUCCAGACUUUCACACCAGCUCUGCAGGACUCACAGAUACUCCAGGGUGACUUUUGCUCUGUAGGCCAUCGUGACGACUCAGGUUUUAGUCUGUGGGAGGGAGAAAGAGCUACAAAAGCAAUAGAUGCUCAAUAACGGGGAAAAAAAUAAAAUCCAACAUGACACAAAGGUAUCAUGUGAAAAAGUAAACAUCCCUCUCCUCCCUACCAUCCUCUACCUCAGGGGAAACCACUGUUACCCCUGUGUCUUCCAGGACUUUUCUAUUUACGCUGAAAUAUAUGUACGUGUUUUUCUUUUUCUUACAAAAAUUGGAUUACGUUAUGUUAUGUAGUAGGGGCACAGGGAUACAAGAACACCUGGCUCCGGGGGCUCCCAAACAGACCAGGUCCGGCCCCUCGCUGCUGACAAAAUUCAAAGGCAGAGAAACUAGCAGUGGUGAAACAAGAGGAAUUUAUUUCUGUGAGGCCAACGCCGGGAAGACAGUGGACUGCACCCCAAAGACCGUCUCCAACGUGCUGAAAAUACUUCCAGGUUUACAGAAGGAAAAUGUGGGGCAAAGGUGUGCGGGUACUGUAGGCAGGAAGUGAAGGUCAAAUCGAUCAUUGUCCUGGAGCAAUCACGGGUGGGGUCUUGUAGGCUCCGGGCAGCCCUUUUUGCUUCAGGCGAUAAUUUCAGUUCUCUUCCCGGGAUGCUUUGCCCUCAGGGUCUGCUACCUGAGCCGGAGACAAACUGGGAAGAACCCAGCUGGGAAGUCUCCGGUCAAAAUGGAGGCAGCCGAAGUCCUCUUUCAAAUAGAUCUCUAAUUUUCUUCUACUCACUAAGUAUGGCAAAGACAUUCUUCUGUACCCAUAAGAAAGAGUACUUUUCCUCUUUCUAAAGCCUACAGAGUAUGCCAUAGCAUGUGUCAUUCAUUUAGCAACUUUUCAAAUUCUCUCCCAUUUUCUUGCUAACAUGAAUGAUCCUGCAAUGAACAUCCUUGUAAAUGUAGCUUUGGUUGAGUGUUUCCCCAGGGAAAGUGGAAUCACUGGAUCUCGAGUUCAUUUCUAUGAGGUGUUUCAUUGUACAGAAAAUAUUUUAGGUCAAAUAAGACAAAAAAAAAAAAAGCGUGUGUGUAUACCAUUUCAUUUAAAGAAUCUUUUGACCCACAGCAUAAAAUAAUUUCUUAAAACUUGGCUGGUUACUAGAGUAGUAUGUCUCCUUUUUCUUCUUUUUUUAAUGGGUUCUGAUUGGCUGGGAAACCAGCCUCGCCUAGUUCCUUGCUUCCUGCCUGUUGCUGCAUCUGUAUGAUCAGUGUGGGGACUCUUGACUGCAAGCCCUUGGGCAGCCCUCUGGGCGCGGGGGCCCUGGUGGCUGCAACGCCUCCAGCCAGCACUCUGGGCUGAGAAUGAGCUAUAGUUCGGAUUGGCAUUUGUUUUCUCAAGGGCUUGAAACUGAGAGUGGGAUCGCAGCAAUUUUCACUCUCCCUAACAUUUCUUCUCGCAGAAUCCUAUUGUGCAAGCCAGAUAUUCAACUAAAAUCAGAUACUAAUGGCUGUGUUGGGUCCUUAAAAUCUCAAGCCGCUAUAAAUUAUUAAAUAGUUCUUCAACACCGAAGGAGAACUGCCCAGCACAAAUUCUCUGCAGCUUUUUCAUUCAAAACUUAUUUUUUACCUCCACAUUGGGUCAUUUACUGGUUCCGGAUUCCACUAAAAGUAGUUCCCCUCCCCCCAACAUCCCUUCCCCUCCCCACCCUGCCCCCAGAAUACAAGGGGUUAAACUUAACUCCCCAGGCUUAAUUUCCCAAACAAAAGCCAGUUUUGCAAGUUAUUUUUCAAGGUGUGUCUUUCCACAAGUUCUAUUUAAUAAAGUUAAUACAUGUUCCUGCUUCCUUUCUUUUUUUCCUUCUUUUUUGUUGUCAGUAUUCACGGAAUCUGGAUCUGUCAGCUACUUCUGUUUGAAGUUGAAGAAUUGGCAAAAUUAUACAUCCAGCAGGCAAGAAAUAAAGUGGAAAUGUCUCACAAGUAACAGUGAAAUCUGUUGCGUUGUUUUAAGACUUAACUACUGAGGGAAAAAAAAAAAGCCCUACUAAAUAUUGUCUUGGCAACUAUAAAUAUAUUUUAGCGAUGAUAAAAACCUUUAGAAUAACAGUUCAAAGAUAUCUGAAACCUAAUGCCUGUCUGUCUGCCACUCUUAAUUAUAUAUAUUUACAUUGUAUAUAUAUCCCAUUCUUCAUUAAAUGCUGUGCAAUUUUC